rnacentral:rRNA from 1 species
UACGUAGGGUGCAAGCGUUGUCCGGAAUUAUUGGGCGUAAAGAGCUCGUAGGCGGUUUGUCGCGUCUGCUGUGAAAACCCGAGGCUCAACCUCGGGCCUGCAGUGGGUACGGGCAGACUAGAGUGCGGUAGGGGAGAUUGGAAUUCCUAGUGUAGCGGUGGAAUGCGCAGAUAUCAGGAGGAACACCGAUGGCGAAGGCAGAUCUCUGGGCCGUAACUGACGCUGAGGAGCGAAAGCAUGGGGAGCGAACAGG